GACAUUGCUCGGUAGACCGACGCGACGGU
rnacentral:sRNA from 1 species